rnacentral:rRNA from 1 species
UACGUAGGGGGCGAGCGUUGUCCGGAAUCAUUGGGCGUAAAGCGCGUGUAGGCGGCCCGGUAAGUCCGCUGUGAAAGUCCAGGGCUCAACCCUGGGAUGCCGGUGGAUACUGUCGGGCUCGAGUCCGGAAGAGGCGAGUGGAAUUCCUGGUGUAGCGGUGAAAUGCGCAGAUAUCGAGAGGAACACCGGUGGCGAAGGCGGCCUUCUGGACAGUGACUGACGCUGAGACGCGAAAGCGUGGGGAGCAAACAGG